UACGUAGGGGGCAAGCGUUAUCCGGAUUCACUGGGCGUAAAGGGAGCGCAGGCGGCAUGGCAAGUCUGAUGUGAAAGCCCGGGGCCCAACCCCGGGACUGCUCUUGGAACUGCGUGGCUGGAGUGCAGGAGGGGCAGGCGGAAUUCCUGGUGUAGCGGUGAAAUGCGUAGAUAUCAGGAGGAACACCGGUGGCGAAGGCGGCCUGCUGGACUGCAACUGACGUUGAGGCCCGAAAGCGUGGGGAGCAAACAGG
rnacentral:rRNA from 1 species